rnacentral:lncRNA from 1 species
AUGGAUAAUGACAUUCAUAGUUGGAUUGAGAGUUAUCUUCGUUAUUUAGAUGAUAGUGACAACUACAAUGCCAAUAUCAGUGACUUGAAUAGUUACAUUUUAGAUGAUACAAAUGAUAGUGAUUUGUAUGAAAUAGAAAAUUCUAAUGAUACAAAUGAUAGUGAUUUUACUCCAAUAGAAUAUUCUAAUGAUACAAAUAAUAGUAAAUUUACUCCAAUACAAUAUCCUGAUGAUCCAAAAGAUACUUCUUAUACUGAAAAAUUUAAGCAUUUAUGGGUUGAAUGCGAAAGUUGCUUUGGAUUAA